rnacentral:rRNA from 1 species
GAUGAACGCUGGCGGCGUGCCUAAUACAUGCAAGUCGAGCGAACAGACGAGGAGCUUGCUCCUCUGACGUUAGCGGCGGACGGGUGAGUAACACGUGGAUAACCUACCUAUAAGACUGGGAUAACUUCGGGAAACCGGAGCUAAUACCGGAUAACAUGUUGAACCGCAUGGUUCAACAGUGAAAGACGGUCUUGCUGUCACUUAUAGAUGGAUCCGCGCCGCAUUAGCUAGUUGGUAAGGUAACGGCUUACAAAGGCAACGAUGCGUAGCCGACCUAAGAGGGUGAUCGGCCACACUGGAACUGAGACACGGUCCAGACUCCUACGGGAGGCAGCAGUAGGGAAUCUUCCGCAAUGGGCGAAAGCCUGACGGAGCAACGCCGCGUGAGUGAAGAAGGUCUUCGGAUCGUAAAACUCUGUUAUUAGGGAAGAACAAAUGUGUAAGUAACUAUGCACGUCUUGACGGUACCUAAUCAGAAAGCCACGGCUAACUACGUGCCAGCAGCCGCCGUAA